AAUACAUCUAUCGAGGCGGGGCGCGCCUUCCUAGGCGAAGGGGUCGGUUCCUUGGAAGAGAGCCGCGGGCGCCCGGGCCCGGGGAGGCGGCCAGGUGUGAGCAGGAGGGUCAUUACCACCUCCGUGCCGGGCGCCACGCUAAAGCAGCUUUCCUUGCAUUCUCCCUGAAUCCUCGCGCCAACCCUAAGGAAACCCAUAUAACUGAUGAUGUAACUGAGUCCGGGAAGGUUCAGGGUCUUACGCAAGGUCGCACAACAGCAGCAGAUUUAUUGUAGCCAAAAUAUGGAAACAACUCAAAUGUCCAUCACCUGAUGAAUGGAUAACAGAAUGUGGUGGUUCAGUGGUUAAGAAUCCGCCUGCCAAUGCAGGGAACAUGGGUUCAAUCCCUGCCCUAGGAAGAUACCACAUGCUGCAGAGCGACUAAGCCCGUGAGCCACAACUAUUGAGCCCAUGUGCCACAACCACUGAAGCCCACGCUCCUAGAGCCUGUGCUCCACAACAAGAGAAGCCACUGCAAUGAGAAGCCCAUGCAACGCAAUGAAGAGUAGCCCUCGCUCACUGCAGCUAGAGAAAGCCCGUGUGCAGCAAAGACCCAACGCAGCCAAUAAAUAAUUCAUUAAAAAAAA